CCUGGCGGCAAUAGCGCGGUGGUCCCACCUGACCCCAUGCCGAACUCAGAAGUGAAACGCCGUAGCGCCGAUG
rnacentral:rRNA from 3 species